rnacentral:rRNA from 1 species
GACGAACCGUGCGAACGUUGUUCGGAAUCACUGGGCUUAAAAGGGCGCGUAGGCGGGCCUCCAAGUCCGGGGUGAAAUCCUCCAGCCUAACUGGAGAAGAGCCUCGGAGACUGGGGGCCUCGAGGGAGGUAGGGGCGUGCGGAACUAUGGGUGGAGCGGUGAAAUGCAUUGAUAUCCAUAGGAACUCCGGUGGCGAAGGCGGCACGCUGGACCUCGUUCUGACGCUGAGGCGCGAAAGCCCAGGGGAGCAAACGGG